GCAGUCGAACGCUUCUUUUUCACCGGAGCUUGCUCCACCGGAAAAAGAGGAGUGGCGAACGGGUGAGUAACACGUGGGUAACCUGCCCAUCAGAAGGGGAUAACACUUGGAAACAGGUGCUAAUACCGUAUAACAAUCGAAACCGCAUGGUUUUGAUUUGAAAGGCGCUUUCGGGUGUCGCUGAUGGAUGGACCCGCGGUGCAUUAGCUAGUUGGUGAGGUAACGGCUCACCAAGGCCACGAUGCAUAGCCGACCUGAGAGGGUGAUCGGCCACAUUGGGACUGAGACACGGCCCAAACUCCUACGGGAGGCAGCAGUAGGGAAUCUUCGGCAAUGGACGAAAGUCUGACCGAGCAACGCCGCGUGAGUGAAGAAGGUUUUCGGAUCGUAAAACUCUGUUGUUAGAGAAGAACAAGGAUGAGAGUAACUGUUCAUCCCUUGACGGUAUCUAACCAGAAAGCCACGGCUAACUACGUGCCAGCAGCCGCGGUAAUACGUAGGUGGCAAGCGUUGUCCGGAUUUAUUGGGCGUAAAGCGAGCGCAGGCGGUUUCUUAAGUCUGAUGUGAAAGCCCCCGGCUCAACCGGGGAGGGUCAUUGGAAACUGGGAGACUUGAGUGCAGAAGAGGAGAGUGGAAUUCCAUGUGUAGCGGUGAAAUGCGUAGAUAUAUGGAGGAACACCAGUGGCGAAGGCGGCUCUCUGGUCUGUAACUGACGCUGAGGCUCGAAAGCGU
rnacentral:rRNA from 1 species